rnacentral:rRNA from 1 species
GUAGGUGGCAAGCGUUGUCCGGAAUUAUUGGGCGUAAAGCGCGCGCAGGCGGUCCUUUAAGUCUGAUGUGAAAGCCCACGGCUCAACCGUGGAGGGUCAUUGGAAACUGGGGGACUUGAGUACAGAAGAGGAAAGCGGAAUUCCAAGUGUAGCGGUGAAAUGCGUAGAGAUUUGGAGGAACACCAGUGGCGAAGGCGGCUUUCUGGUCUGUAACUGACGCUGAGGCGCGAAAGCGCGGGGAGCAAACAGGGAUUAGAUACCCUGGUAGUCCACGCCGUAAACGAUGAGUGCUAAGUGUUAGGGGGUUUCCCGCCCCCUUAGUGCUGCAGCUAACGCAUUAAGCACUCCGCCUGGGGAUACGGCCGCAAGGCUG